rnacentral:tRNA from 1 species
AGGAUUAUAGUUAAUUAAACAUUUAAUUUGCACUUAAAAAAUAUUGGAUAAAACCAAUUUAUCUUA